rnacentral:tRNA from 1 species
UGGGGUGUAGCCAAGCGGUAAGGCAUCGGGUUUUGAUCCCGACAUUCCUAGGUUCGAAUCCUAGCACCCCAG